rnacentral:rRNA from 2 species
UAGGGAAUCUUCGGCAAUGGACGAAAGUCUGACCGAGCAACGCCGCGUGAGUGAAGAAGGUUUUCGGAUCGUAAAACUCUGUUGUUAGAGAAGAACAAGGACGUUAGUAACUGAACGUCCCCUGACGGUAUCUAACCAGAAAGCCACGGCUAACUACGUGCCAGCAGCCGCGGUAAUACGUAGGUGGCAAGCGUUGUCCGGAUUUAUUGGGCGUAAAGCGAGCGCAGGCGGUUUCUUAAGUCUGAUGUGAAAGCCCCCGGCUCAACCGGGGAGGGUCAUUGGAAACUGGGAGACUAGAGUGCAGAAGAGGAGAGUGGAAUUCCAUGUGUAGCGGUGAAAUGCGUAGAUAUAUGGAGGAACACCAGUGGCGAAGGCGGCUCUCUGGUCUGUAACUGACGCUGAGGCUCGAAAGCGUGGGGAGCAAACAGG